GCAGAUAGCUGAAGAUUAUUCCCACUGUGAAUUUUUGAUACGUCUACCGGGGUACUGUCCUAUGCCUGCUUUUCGUGAUGUUAUUGAUAUACCUCUUGUUGUGAGGAGGUUACACAAAUCUAGAGAAGAGGUGAGGAAAGAGCUUGGAGUUAAGGACAACAUGAAGCUAGUAAUUUUCAAUUUUGGUGGUCAG